UUAACUCAAAUCUGUAUGGAGUUGAAACGCUUGCCUACGUUUGCCGCUAGGGGCGCUGUUCCAACAGUAUACAAAACUGAGAUC
rnacentral:pre_miRNA from 1 species